rnacentral:rRNA from 1 species
CUUGGUCAUUUAGAGGAAGUAAAAGUCGUAACAAGGUUUCCGUAGGUGAACCUGCGGAAGGAUCAUUAUCGAGUGUUGCCCCCCUCGUAAAAAAAGGGGGGUACCUCCCGUCCUUUGCUCAGGGGCCCCCUCUUUUAUUUUUGGGAGGGGGCUUUUACAAGAACCCCUUCUGCUUCGGCGGGGCCAACCCCCCUGCCGGAACACCCUCAAAAAUUCUUUUAAUUUGUCCGAGGAAUUUUUAAAAAAUGAUAACAAAACUUUCAACAACGGAUCUCUUGGCUCUCGCAUCGAUGAAGAACGCAGCGAAAUGCGAUAAGUAAUGUGAAUUGCAGAAUUCAGUGAAUCAUCGAAUCUUUGAACGCACCUUGCGCCCUCUGGUAUUCCGGAGGGCAUGCCUGUUUGAGUGUCAUGUAGACUCAAUCCCUCGGGUUUCCGAGGAGAUUGGACUUGGGUGUUGCCGCUCUGCCGGCUCGCCUUAAAAGACUUAGCGGGAUAGCACCGUAGUCGGCGUAAUAAGUUCCGUCGGUGAAGGUUGUGAUGACUGCUUACAAUCGCCCUUGGGCAAUUUUUGACUCUGACCUCAAAUCAGGUAGGACUACCCGCUGAACUUAAGCAUAUCAAUAAGCGGAGGA